GGGUGGGGCCGGCGCGGCAGAAACCUUCGAACUUCGUCAGGUCCGAGAGGAAGCAGCGAUAAGGAGGUACCUCUGGGUGCCGCCGGGAACCCUACCUGGA
rnacentral:SRP_RNA from 1 species